rnacentral:rRNA from 1 species
AUUGAACGCUGGCGGCAUGCCUUACACAUGCAAGUCGAACGGUAGAGGGGCAACCCUCGAGAGUGGCGAACGGGUGAGUAAUGCAUCGGAACGUGCCCAGUCGUGGGGGAUAACGUAGCGAAAGCUACGCUAAUACCGCAUACGACCCGAGGGUGAAAGCGGGGGACUCGCAAGGGCCUCGCGCGAUUGGAGCGGCCGAUGUCAGAUUAGGUAGUUGGUGGGGCAAAGGCCUACCAAGCCGACGAUCUGUAGCUGGUCUGAGAGGACGACCAGCCACACUGGGACUGAGACACGGCCCAGACUCCUACGGGAGGCAGCAGUGGGGAAUUUUGGACAAUGGGCGCAAGCCUGAUCCAGCCUUGCCGCGUGCGGAAAGAAGGCCUUCGGGUUGUAAACCGCUUUUGUCAGGGAAGAAAUCUUCUGGGUUAAUACCUCGGGAGGAUGACGGUACCUGGAGAAUAAGCACCGGCUAACUACGUGCCAGCAGCCGCCGUAAUAC